UACGUAGGGGGCAAGCGUUGUCCGGAUUUAUUGGGCGUAAAGAGCGUGUAGGCGGCCAAGCAGGUCAGCUGUGAAAACUCGAGGCUCAACCUCGAGACGUCGGUUGAAACCGCUUGGCUAGAGUCCGGAAGAGGAGAGUGGAAUUCCCGGUGUAGCGGUGAAAUGCGCAGAUAUCGGGAAGAACACCCGUGGCGAAGGCGGCUCUCUGGGACGGUACUGACGCUGAGACGCGAAAAGCGUGGGGGAGCGAACAGG
rnacentral:rRNA from 1 species